UACGUAGGGGGCAAGCGUUGUCCGGAUUCAUUGGGCGUAAAGAGCGUGUAGGCGGCCAGGUAGGUCGGUUGUGAAAACUGGGAGGCUCAACCUUCAGAGGUCGACCGAAACCAUCUGGCUAGAGUCCGGGAGAGGAGAGUGGAAUUCCUGGUGUAGCGGUGAAAUGCGCAGAUAUCAGGAAGAACACCCGUGGCGAAAGCGGCUCUCUGGAACGGUACUGACGCUGAGACGCGAAAGCGUGGGGAGCGAACAGG
rnacentral:rRNA from 1 species